AUCCAGCCCAUUAUGAUGAUAAGUGGGAGAGCAAUCCCUCCACCCACUUUUUCUUCAUAAUGAAUUUCUUUUUGGCUAAAUAUUCAAGGGCUGGAAGCUCUAGGAUCCACCCUGUUUCAAAAUAUUAUGAAAACAGUUUGUCAUUAUUUCAAGGAACCUGUACAAUAUUUUACACAUUUUGACCAUGCACUUAUUUCUGGGGUCUCUGUUUGUACUCGUUUCUUUAUCUAAAG